AUCUAAAUUUUAGUACAUCCACACCUGCCUCCUCCUCCUCCUCCUUUUUCUGUUGCCAGCCAUGAUGAAAAAUUAAGUAUACGAGUUACAUGUUUUAUUUGUUAAUGAAUUUAUUUGUAUUUAGAGUAAGAUAAAGCAGAUCUUGAGGAUAAGAAAGAGGAAGUGGAGUUACAGAAGUAUAGGAACUUGAGGAAUAAGAGGAUAAUGUAAAGAAGAGAAAGAGAUUUGUUUGUGAAUUCAUUUGUUUUUACUAUAAGAUAAAGUAGAUCGAGGGAAAGGAAUUAAGAGGAAGUGGAGUUAGAGAAGAAGGAAAGGGAGGAAUAAUUUAAUUUCUCUCCUGUUUAUUCCUUUUUUUCUUCCUUUUAUCUUAUUGCAGUGUAGUUUGGUGUAUAUUUUUUCUUUGGGGAUUGGUUGACUCUACUGUCUUCCUGUUUUUUUUCUUCCUUUCUUCUUUCUUCCUUUGCUUUCUCUCCCCUUUCUUCCUUCGCUUUAAAUUUCUUCCUUUCUUCUCUAUGCAAUGUUCGGCUUAAUGGAGGAUGAUUCUAUAUGGGGAUUCGUCUCAUCUCCCUUUAAUUGCUUUCCUGUUCUUUUCUUUCUUUCCUCUUUCUUCCUUUUGGACGCCUUAGAAAGAUAAUUUGGGCCGUCAGUCGAUCCAUUAGCUACAGCGGUCCAGAGGUGUUUCAGAAGCGCUUCGAAACUCUCCUCUUGACGCUCGAUCUUGAACUCUCCUGAGCGUGUUGGUAUUAAAAAAAAAGAUCGUUGUAGAGAUUAGGUUAUUUCUUUAUUUCUUUUCAGACCCAAAAAAAUAAUAAUCAAUUGUAUACAUAUGCAUUCGCUAUAUUAUGUUGAUUCGUGCAUCUCUCUCUCUCUCUCUCUCUCUCUCUCUCUCUCUCUCUCUCUCUCUCUCUCUCGAGUUGACCUCCCCCAACCAAAAAUCCUUAAGGAUAGGCGGGGAGGGAGAGAGAAAGGGGGAGAGGAAGGAGAAAGACAGGGGAGAGUGGGGAAGGGGGAGGAAAGGAAGAGGAUAGGAGAGGGAGUAAAAGGAAGGAAUAGGAGAUCGUAGGACUUUUAAGUAAGGAUAUAGGAAAGAAAAAAGAUGAUAGGAGAAUGGGGGGUGAAGAGAGAGAGAGAGGGUGUAGGAACAGAGAUUAGCGGGCUUUUUUUUUUUAAACAUUUUUUUUUUGGUGUUGCCCUUGAGCUAUUUCUUUAGCAGUAGGAGGGUAGAGAGAAUAAGGGAAGGCAUAUGGGUAAGAGGUUAGGUAAGGGUAGACAAUACAGGGCGUGCACUUGAGGCAGGGGUGGGGGGUGGGGGGAGUGUUGGAAAGACCAGCGUCCACGACUCCACAUCCACAUCCACAUCCUGCCUUGAUAUGAGAGAGAGGAGGGAGAGAGAGAGAGGGGAAGGGAGGGAGGGAAGAUGCCUUGAAGAGGAGGAAGAGGAGGAAUCACUCUCACUUGAACUUUACUUGUCAUAGCAACUAGAUAAUAAUUCACGGAAGGAGGAGGAGGAGGAGGAGGAGGAAGAGGGGGCGGAUGAGAUUAGAAGGAAGGAAAACUGGAAGGCUUGGUAAAGUUUUGAAAUACUCUAGCCUAGUAAUUGAGUUCUUGGUAAUGAAUGAAUAUGGAAGUAGAAGGAGGAGGAGGUGGAUGAAUGAGAGAACAAUGAGGAAGAGGAAUUGAGAUUAGAAGGAAGGAAAACUGGAAAGAUAUAGGAAAAGUUUUGAAAUUCUACAGUGAUUGCAUGAGGUCUUGGUAGUGAAUUCAGAUAAGGAGGAGGAGGAGGAAGUAGAUGAAUGAGAUAUGGAAGAGGAAGAGGAUGAGAAGAAAUGAGAGGAGGAGGAAGGAGGGAGGGAGAAGAAAAGUUUAAAAAUAAAGUUGUGAAAUUAAAAAGGGAUUGAGGUACUGGUAGUGAAUUCAGAUAGGAAGGAGGAGGAGGAGGAAGUAGAUGAAUGAGCUAUCGAGGAGGAAGAGGAUUAGAGGAAAUGAGAUGAGGAAGGAAGGAGGGAGGGAGGAAGAAGCAAAGUUAAAAGAAAAGUUGUGAAAUUAUUAAAUGAUUGAGUUCUUGGUAGUGAAUGACGCAAGGAGGAGGAGGAGCAGAGAGAGAAGAAAAUGAUGAAUAAGAGGAUGUGGGAUGUAAAAAAAAAAAGA